rnacentral:tRNA from 1 species
GCGGGCGUAGCUCAGUGGAUAGAGCAACGGCCUUCUAAGCCGUUGGUCGCGCGUUCGAGUCGCGCCGUCCGCGCCA